rnacentral:rRNA from 1 species
UACGUAGGGUGCAAGCGUUGUCCGGAAUUAUUGGGCGUAAAGAGCUCGUAGGCGGUCUGUUGCGUCGGCUGUGAAAACCCGGGGCUCAACUCCGGGCCUGCAGCCGAUACGGGCAGACUAGAGUUCGGCAGGGGAGACUGGAAUUCCUGGUGUAGCGGUGAAAUGCGCAGAUAUCAGGAGGAACACCGAUGGCGAAGGCAGAUCUCUGGGCCAUUACUGACGCUGAGGAGCGAAAGCGUGGGGAGCGAACAGG